CGGGACGUGGCGCAGUCUGGAAGCGCACCUGAAUGGGGUUCAGGGGGUCGCGAGUUCAAAUCUCGCCGUCCCGACCA
rnacentral:tRNA from 5 species